rnacentral:misc_RNA from 1 species
UGAGAUAUACAGCACUAGAAUUUAGCUCUGAUAUGGUAAAUGGCACGUCAAGUUCUGUGUGAAGAUAUUUGAGACCACGAGCAAUGCCUAUUACAAUUUUCAUUCGUCGUGUCCAAGAUAACUGGCAUCCUUCUCCAUAAUGUAGGUGCUCAUACAAUGUUCCAUUUGAUGCAUAUUCAAAAACCAGCAUCCGUGUAAAUGGAGUGCUCUCUCUACAAUAGCCCAGUAAUUUUCCCAUAUUUUCAUGAUUUAAUCUUGCCAAAUCUGCCACCUCUUUCUGGAAAUAGAGCUCAAGAUAGCCCGUCCAGUGU